rnacentral:tmRNA from 1 species
GGGGGCGACCUGGUUUCGACGGGAAUGUGAAACUUAUCCUGGCAUGCCAAGGUCCUGUAGCUUGUAAAACGCAGGAACAACUUAAUUGCCAACGAGCAAUUAGCACUCGCUGCUUAAUUUAAGCGGCACGUCCUUUUAGGUUUUGCCUGUAGAGCUUAAAAGGGCGACGAUCAUAUAGGCUGGUCUUCUCUGUCGCUUUUUGGGAGAAGAUGAGAUUUUUAAAAAGCUAUCUUUUGGUUGAGCCUGCACCUCGGCGCACCAAAAGAGAAACUUAAGUUGAAGUGAUAAGCAUGUAGUCAGCUAAGCGUAGUAUUUUCGGACGCGGGUUCGAUUCCCGCCGCCUCCACCA